rnacentral:rRNA from 1 species
UUGGAGGGCAAGUCUGGUGCCAGCAGCCGCGGUAAUUCCAGCUCCAAUAGCGUAUAUUAAAGUUGUUGCAGUUAAAAAGCUCGUAGUUGAAUUUCGGGGUUAGUAGGUUGGUCAUGCCACUGGUAUGUACUGGUCUCACUGAUUCCUCCUCCCUGAUGAGCCGUAAUGCCAUUAAUUUGGUGUUGCGAGGAAUCUGGACUGUUACUUUGAAAAAAUUAGAGUGUUUAAAGCAAGCUAACGCUUGAAUACAUUAGCAUGGAAUAAUGAAAUAGGACGUUCGAUCCUAUUUUGUUGGUUUCUAGGAUUGACGUAAUGAUUAAUAGGGAUAGUUGGGGGCAUUAGUAUUCAAUUGUCAGAGGUGAAAUUCUUGGAUUUAUUGAAGACUAACUACUGCGAAAGCAUUUGCCAAGGAUGUUUUCAUUAAUCAAGAACGAAAGUUCGGGGAUCGAAGACGAUCAGAUACCGUCGUAGUCUUAACCAUAAACUAUGCCGACUAGGGAUCGGAUGAUGUUAAUUUUUUAAUGACUCAUUCGGCGCCUUACGGGAAAC